UCUAGCCAUGGGCAGGUUGAAGGUUGGGUAACACUAACUGGAGGACCGAACCGACUAAUGUUGAAAAAUUAGCGGAUGACCUGUGGCUGGGGGUGAAAGGCCAAUCAAACCGGGAGAUAGCUGGUUCUCCCCGAAAGCUAUUUAGGUAGCGCCUCGUGAAUUCAUCUCCGGGGGUAGAGCACUGUUUCGGCUAGGGGGCCAUCCCGGCUUACCAACCCGAUGCAAACUGCGAAUACCGGAGAAUGUUAUCACGGGAGACACACGGCGGGUGCUAACGUCCGUCGUGAAGAGGGAAACAACCCAGACCGCCAGCUAAGGUCCCAAAGUCAUGGUUAAGUGGGAAACGAUGUGGGAAGGCCCAGACAGCCAGGAUGUUGGCUUAGAAGCAGCCAUCAUUUAAAGAAAGCGUAAUAGCUCACUGGUCGAGUCGGCCUGCGCGGAAGAUGUAACGGGGCUAAACCAU
rnacentral:rRNA from 1 species